rnacentral:rRNA from 1 species
CUGGUUCAGAACGAACGCUGGCGGCGUGCUUAACACAUGCAAGUCGAACGCGAAAGGGACUUCGGUCCUGAGUAAAAGUGGCGCACGGGUGAGUAACGCGUAGAUAACCUGUCUUCAUGUCUGGAAUAAUACGCCGAAAGGGGUACUAAUACCGGAUAUUCUUGCUUUUCAUAAGUUAUGCAAGCAAAGGUGGCCUCUGCAUAUGCUACUGCAUGAAGAGGGGUCUGCGUACCAUUAGCUAGUAGGUGGGGUAAUGGCCUACCUAGGCGACGAUGGUUAGCGGGUCUGAGAGGAUGAUCCGCCACACUGGCACUGGAACACGGGCCAGACUCCUACGGGAGGCAGCAGUGAGGAAUAUUGGUCAAUGGGCGGGAGCCUGAACCAGCCAAGUCGCGUAGAAGGAAGAAGGAUCUAUGGUUCGUAGACUUCUUUGCGAGGGGAAUAAAGUGCAGGACGUGUCCUUGUUUUGUAUCGUACCCUGAGAAUAAGGAUCGGCUAACUCCGUGCCAGCCGCAGC